rnacentral:lncRNA from 1 species
CUUUCCUUUAACUGUGGUUAGCAGUGAACAAAGAGUUGGAGGUAAUUGCGUUUUCCUGUCUAUCAUUCUUUCUCCCUGUUGAGUGAAGAGAAGUGUGACAGGGACAUACCUUGAGUGACAAACAUUGAUCUCUGGAGGCAGGAUGGGCAGUUCUCUGUUUCUAAUUAAUGACAUUAUUCUUUCAAGUUUUGAAAAGGACACCCUCAGCCCUGGCAAAUUGCUGCCCCUGUUAAGGCUUGGUCGACAUGUAAUUAUAUCAACACAAGAAGAGGAUGGAGUGGUUGAGUUGCGAUUUCUUUUCCAGUGGAGCUACAUUGUGCAGUUCCUCACGUGCACCCUUUGUAGACAGACUGACUGCUACAGCUUAUCCUGCUGCUCUGUGAGGGAAUAAACACUUCGGAGGUGAGCACCAGAGUUGGCUCAAGCUACUCAUACUUUCCUGACUUCUGCAGAGUAAAAUCGUGUAGGUUUGGUGUGUAAACACGUUGCCCUAAGCCAAAAGUUUAAAACGGGAUCCUGUGUCAUUGUGUUUCUCUGCUGCUUUCCUUCACCCCUCUUUCAGGCCACGUGUACAAAGUGCGUAGAUCACAGCAUGCCGCGUAUCGGGUGUCUCUGACAGCUGGCGACACACUUGCAAUGCCUGCAUGGCUCCGGUAUUUUCAAAUGCAAGAGGGAGCCCAAAGACUUCAAAGGUUUCAUGAGGUUUGCUCGUAAAUUCUCUUUUACUCCAGGUGGUGCUUCCGUGUGUUUAAAAGUUUGAAAAAAGUAAUCCUUGUUUUCAAAGUGAAUAGAUGAUCAACCCUGAAAAGCAGACACUGCCCUGACCACAUACCAAUGCUUUUUGAAGUCCUGAAGAGCAUUCUGAGGGCUACUGCCUUUUGUUUUUUUUCCUUUCCCAACAUAUAUAAUAUAGUUUCUCAUUUUAUUUUAUAUACAAUUUGUUGUGCUAUUUAUGAAGAAUUUUUUUAAUCAGAAAAUCUCUGUGAGAAGAGUUAACUGGAACGAAAGCAAGUAAACCUGACAUGAUAAAUUCUGGAAACUAUAUUCUUCCCAUACCUCUUUUUAUUGAAAACCAUGCCUGUCCUUUCUUGUAUUUCACUAUUGUAUAGUAAUGUAUUUCUUGAUAUUGCAAGUUAUUUUUCACUAUUUUCAGCUAUUGUUUUAUAUAUCUUUUAAAAAUAACAUAUCAUAGCUUCAGCAAUUUAUAUGAUGAUUUCUCUGAUGGAAGUAAAUGGAAAUCCCAGCUGAGUUUCUGUCUCCGAUAUGCUAAUUACUAGACAAAAUAAAA